GCAGACAAGGUACGCGUCACUCUUUACGAAUACAGGCCCUACAAUAAAUAAAAAGCUACUCAAGAGAAGGGGAGGCAAGUCGUAACAUGGUAAGUGUACC
rnacentral:rRNA from 1 species